GACGAACGCUGGCGGCGUGCUUAACACAUGCAAGUCGAACGGAAAGGCCCUGCUUUUGUGGGGUGCUCGAGUGGCGAACGGGUGAGUAACACGUGAGUAACCUGCCCUUGACUUUGGGAUAACUUCAGGAAACUGGGGCUAAUACCGGAUAGGAGCUCCUGCUGCAUGGUGGGGGUUGGAAAGUUUCGGCGGUUGGGGAUGGACUCGCGGCUUAUCAGCUUGUUGGUGGGGUAGUGGCUUACCAAGGCUUUGACGGGUAGCCGGCCUGAGAGGGUGACCGGCUACACUGGGACUGGGAUACGACACAGCCUCCUAUGGGAGGCAGGAGUGGGGAAUAGUGCACAAUGGGCGGAAGCCUGAUGCAGCAACGCCGCGUGCGGGAUGACGGCCUUCGGGUUGUAAACCGCUUUCGCCUGUGACGAGGCGUGAGUGACGGUAAUGGGUAAAGAAGCACCGGCUAACUGCGUG
rnacentral:rRNA from 1 species